rnacentral:rRNA from 1 species
AGUGAACGCUGGCGGCAGGCCUAACACAUGCAAGUCGAGCGGCAGCGGGUCCUUCGGGAUGCCGGCGAGCGGCGGACGGGUGAGGAAUGCAUCGGAAUCUGCCCUGUCGUGGGGGAUAACCUAGGGAAACUUAGGCUAAUACCGCAUACGACCCACGGGUGAAAGCGGGGGAUCGCAAGACCUCGCGCGAUAGGAUGAGCCGAUGUCCGAUUAGCUAGUUGGCGGGGUAAAGGCCCACCAAGGCGACGAUCGGUAGCUGGUCUGAGAGGAUGAUCAGCCACACUGGGACUGAGACACGGCCCAGACUCCUACGGGAGGCAGCAGUGGGGAAUAUUGGACAAUGGGCGCAAGCCUGAUCCAGCCAUGCCGCGUGGGUGAAGAAGGCCUUCGGGUUGUAAGCCCUUUUGUCCGGGAAGAAAUCGUCUGGGCUAAUACCCCGGGCGGAUGACGGUACCGGAAGAAUAAGCACCGGCUAACUUCGUG